GACGAACGCUGGCGGCGUGCUUAACACAUGCAAGUCGAACGGAAAGGCCCUGCUUUUGUGGGGUGCUCGAGUGGCGAACGGGUGAGUAUCACGUGAGUAACCUGCCCUUUACUUUGGGAUAACUUCAGGAAACUGGGGCUAAUACCGGAUAUGAGCUCCUGCUGCAUGGUGUUGGUUGGAAAGUUUCGGCGGUUGGGGAUGGACUCGCGGCUUAUCAGCUUGUUGGUGGGGUAGUGGCUUACCAAGGCUCUGACGGGUAGCCGGCCUGAGAGGGUGACCGGGCACAAUGGGACUGAGAUACGGCCCAGACUGCUACGGGAGGCAGCGGUGGGAAAUAGUGCGCAAUGGGCGGAAGCCUGAUGCAGCAACGCCGCGUGCGGGAUGACGGCCUUCGGGUUGUAAACCGCUUUCGCCUGUGACGAAGAGUGAGUGACGGUAAUGGGUAAAGAAGCAACGGCUAACUACGUG
rnacentral:rRNA from 1 species